rnacentral:rRNA from 1 species
GAUGAACGCUGGCGGCGUGCUUAACACAUGCAAGUCGAACGGGAUCCACGUGGUGCUUGCACUUUUUGGUGUGAGUGGCGAAUGGGUGAGUAACACGUGAGUAACCCGUCCUUUUCUUUUGAAUAAACAUUCGUAAGGGUGUUUAAUAACUUAUGUUCUUGCUGCCUCGCAUGGGGUGGGUAGGUACGGCUUUUGCGGAAUUUGGGUGGGCUGGCGGUCUAGCUGCUUGUUGGGGGGGUGAUGGCUUACUAAGGCUUUGACCGGUAGGCGGCCGGAGCCGGUGGUCGGGGACAUUGGGACUGAGAGACGGCCCAGACUCGUGCGGGAGGCAGCAGUGGGGAAUAUUGCACAAUGGGCGAAAGCCGGAUGCAGCGACGCGGCGUGGGGGAUGAAGGGGUUCGGGUUGUAAACGUCUUUUGCUCUGUACAAGGCAUGCCAGUGCGUGUGUUGAGGGUAGGGGUAGAUUAGCACCGGCUAACUACGUG